GUGUCAGCCGCCGCGGUAAUACGUAGGUGGCGAGCGUUAUCCGGAUUUACUGGGCGUAAAGCGCGCGCAGGCGGCUGGCCAAGUCUGAUGUGAAAUCUUCCGGCUCAACUGGAAAAUGGCAUUAGAAACUGGCCGGCUGGAAGGUGGGAGAGGGCAGCGGAAUUCCCGGUGUAGUGGUGGAAUGCGUAGAUAUCGGGAGGAACACCAGUGGCGAAAGCGGCUGCCUGGCCCACUCUUGACGCUGAGGCGCGAAAGCUAGGGGAGCAAACGGGAUUAGAUACCCUCGUAGUCC
rnacentral:rRNA from 1 species